UCCCUAACGCUUGAAAUGGGUCAGAGGCGAAAUAUAGGCCCAGACUCAACUUGACUUCCACUUUUAAUCGAACUAAAGCCCAAUGUUCGUGUAUUUUAGUCAAAUCUUCAGAAAAACCCAAAAAAUUAUAUGGAAUUAGAAAACAACCCCAAAUCCAUGACCCCGUUACAACACCCUUUUUUUUUUUUCAAUUUAAAACUCAUUGAUUUAAACCCUAAACCUAGAUUGGCUUCAAAGAAAUAAGAAAGUAAGGCUAAUAUCCUCUGCCUGGAGGAUACAAUCCAUGGCACAGAGAAUCUUCCUACAGUUAUGUUUCCUGUCAUCUUUUUCUAGCUUCAGUUGUUCUAUACAGUUACACUGCUUAUAUCUGAGUAUGCAUGACUGACUAAUUGAUCUUCAUAUAAAUUGGCAUCAUUAUAAUACUGAUUAUAAUAAGAGAGUAAGAAUUUUUCUCUUAAUCAAGAAAGAAAGGAACUGCAAAAUAAUUACAUGUUCACCCUUCUAUUGCCACCACGGCUGUGACCGUUCUGUCUGGGGCCAAUAUUGUUUAUAAUGGAAACCCGUUGUAUGACCUAUCACUUACCACUUUGGCAAUAACCCUUGCUGCUGUUACUGUUCUCGUAGCAGCUGUUGGGAAUAUCAGGAGAAUGAAUGAAGGCAAUUUCCCUUUUUAACUUAUUAAAAAGAAGGAAGGGUCUCUCUCACCAUGCCUUUGUUUAACUGUCUGAUUCAAGGCAAUUCAAUUGUCAAGUUAUUACCAGAUCAGCCGCUUAGCUCCUUCACUUUGUUCUUGAAAAGAAAAAGAAUGGAACUAAAUCCUCAUUCCCUCUUCGAUGCGGACGGUGUUUGCUGCCGGUGUUAGCGGCAAAUCAGCAGCUUGAGUUGAGAAGUGGAAGACAGACGAGUUUAUGGAAAAGAAACCAAAAACAAGCUCAUGGCAUGUUGGAUCCCUAAUUGAACCUGCCAAAAAGAAUUGUUUGAUGUUGGUGGCAAUGACAUGGAUGAUGAUUAUGUGGAUGGUGGUGAUGAAAGUGAUAACUAAGAGAUAAUAUAUUGGACUCAGUUAAUCCUUCUCUAGAUGUUGAUGGGGACUAUGAUUAUGAUGAUCUAAACCAAGUUGCCAAUAAAAAUGAUGAUGACUUGAUUGGUAAUGCCAGUGAUGCAGAGAUGGACUUACCCACAGAUGCUGAUGCAGAGGAUUUUAAUGCUGAUGCUGAUGCUGAUGCUGGCAGUGAUAGGAUCAAUGAGGAUGAUGAUGAUGAUGCCAUUGAUAUUGGAGAUGAGUAUGAUCUUAGCACAAUGAGGAUGGGUAUCAUUUAAGUAAAUCCUGCCUUACUGGCUUAUUAAUAAUCUCAUAGUAUUUACAUUGUGAUCACUUUGUUAAUUAUGUGCCAGUCUGCCAGAGUAUUGAUCUCUUCGAACCUGUACCCUCCAUCAAUGAUAUAUGAGACAUGCCUCGCUCCAGAUUAUGGAACGAACAAUAUUCCCAACUUCUUUUACCGUAAGGAGUGAAGCUAAAGCUGGUGAAUGAUUCCAAGUGGUUGCAUCAUCUUUUGGAAGCAAGAGACCCUGGGAGCGGAGGGAAAGCUAUUGGCAAAGUAAGAAAAUUGUGCUAUUUGCCUUUCACAUGCUAAUAUUAUUAUUGUAUUAGUUAUUUGUUAUUGUUGUUAUCUUAUACACAGAUAUGCUCGAUGGAUUGGCUAAUUAACGAAUUCUUAAACAAAAAAGAACAAAAUGGACAAGUGCUUCAAAGAAUAAUUAAACUCCUUGGAGUUGGAGUUCACUUUACUUAUCAUAUGCUUGUAUAUAUGCUGGCUGUAGUUUUUUCAGAAUUAAAUCCCUUGAUCCUGA